GAUGCCAUUGAAUCAGCCGUUUUUGUUUUAUGAUACUUAGUAAGGUUUACAAUUAGGAGAAUUUUAAAAAUGAUAUUUUUUUGUCUUUUUUAUUUAUUUUAAUUUUCAUCUUGUUUCAUUUUUUAAUUCAUGAAUAAUCACUUGACAAGUUAUAUAUAGUCUGCGGUGAUGAAAGAUACGUACUAAUGUAAAGAAAAGGAACUAAUUUAAAUUACAUGGAUAAGAGGGUCCUUAUCUGCGGAGUUUCUUCCCUAAAGGAGCAACAAACAACGCUUUAAAGCUACUUUGAAUCACGUGGCAUUUGUAAAAACGGGAAAUUACAAAAUCCAAUGAAUUUGGAAGUGGAUUUAAAGGGUCUAAUUCUGGAACCCGUACACAAUGACUGAAGCGGGAAUUACCUAAAUUUUUGGUGGUUAGCUGUAACGAUAGUUACGCUUAUGAGAAGAGGAUGGUAAGGAGCGAUUUGGAUGCAUGUUACGCAAAGGAACUUUCCAUACUUUUAACGGAUCCUUUUCAAAGUUGUAUAAAUACUAUUUCAGAACAUAAUACAUAAGAUGAAUUUUCAUCGGAACUUGGACCAACUUUGGUCAUAGGUUUAUAAACGUUAAAUGAACUUGUCAAUCUAUUUUUAGUAACUUUAAUUUUAAAUACAAUUUUAGGUAUUUAUUUUA